rfam:Ovis aries breed Texel chromosome 18, whole genome shotgun sequence.
UCCUGGUGGCUCAGAUGGUAAAGAAUCUGCCUGCAAUGCAGGAGACCCAGGUUCAAUCCCUGGGUCAGGAA